rnacentral:rRNA from 1 species
AUUGAACGCUGGCGGCAGGCCUAACACAUGCAAGUCGAGCGGAUGAAGGGAGCUUGCUCCUGGAUUCAGCGGCGGACGGGUGAGUAAUGCCUAGGAAUCUGCCUGGUAGUGGGGGAUAACGUCCGGAAACGGGCGCUAAUACCGCAUACGUCCUGAGGGAGAAAGUGGGGGAUCUUCGGACCUCACGCUAUCAGAUGAGCCUAGGUCGGAUUAGCUAGUUGGUGGGGUAAAGGCCUACCAAGGCGACGAUCCGUAACUGGUCUGAGAGGAUGAUCAGUCACACUGGAACUGAGACACGGUCCAGACUCCUACGGGAGGCAGCAGUGGGGAAUAUUGGACAAAGGGCGAAAGCCUGAUCCAGCAAUGCCGCGUGUGUGAAGAAGGUCUUCGGAUUGUAAAGCACUUUAAGUUGGGAGGAAGGGCAGUAAGUUAAUACCUUGCUGUUUUGACGUUACCAACAGAAUAAGCACCGGCUAACUUCGUG